CGAGUGGCGGACGGGUGAGUAAUGUCUGGGAAACUGCCUGAUGGAGGGGGAUAACUACUGGAAACGGUAGCUAAUACCGCAUAACGUCGCAAGACCAAAGAGGGGGACCUUCGGGCCUCUUGCCAUCGGAUGUGCCCAGAUGGGAUUAGCUAGUAGGUGGGGUAACGGCUCACCAAGGCGACGAUCCCUAGCUGGUCUGAGAGGAUGACCAGCCACACUGGAACUGAGACACGGUCCAGACUCCUACGGGAGGCAGCAUG
rnacentral:rRNA from 1 species